rnacentral:rRNA from 1 species
GUAAACGAUGAAUGCUAAGUGUUGGAGGGUUUCCGCCCUUCAGUGCUGCAGCUAACGCAUUAAGCAUUCCGCCUGGGGAGUACGGCCGCAAGGCUGAAACUCAAAGGAAUUGACGGGGGCCCGCACAAGCGGUGGAGCAUGUGGUUUAAUUCGAAGCUACGCGAAGAACCUUACCAGGUCUUGACAUACUAUGCAAAUCUAAGAGAUUAGACGUUCCCUUCGGGGACAUGGAUACAGGUGGUGCAUGGUUGUCGUCAGCACGUGUCGUGAGAUGUUGGGUUAAGUCCCGCAACGAGCGCAACCCUUAUUAUCAGUUGCCAGCAUUAAGUUGGGCACUCUGGUGAGACUGCCGGUGACAAACCGGAGGAAGGUGGGGAUGACGUCAAAUCAUCAUGCCCCUUAUGACCUGGGCUACACACGUGCUACAAUGGAUGGUACAACGAGUUGCGAACUCGCGAGAGUAAGCUAAUCUCUUAAAGCCAUUCUCAGUUCGGAU